AUUGAACGCUGGCGGCAGGCUUAACACAUGCAAGUCGAACGGUAACAUAAAGGAGCUUGCUUCUUUGAUGACGAGUGGCGGACGGGUGAGUAAUGCUUGGGAAUCUAGCUUAUGGAGGGGGAUAACUACGGGAAACUGUAGCUAAUACCGCGUAGAAUCGGGAGAUGAAAGUGUGGGACCUUCGGGCCACAUGCCAUAGGAUGAGCCCAAGUGGGAUUAGGUAGUUGGUGAGGUAAAGGCUCACCAAGCCGACGAUCUCUAGCUGGUCUGAGAGGAUGACCAGCCACACUGGGACUGAGACACGGCCCAGACUCCUACGGGAGGCAGCAGUGGGGAAUAUUGCGCAAUGGGGGCAACCCUGACGCAGCCAUGCCGCGUGAAUGAAGAAGGCCUUCGGGUUGUAAAGUUCUUUCGGUAGCGAGGAAGGCAUUUAGUUUAAUAGACUAGGUGAUUGGCGUUAACUACAGAAGAAGCACCGGCUAACUCCGUG
rnacentral:rRNA from 1 species